rnacentral:rRNA from 1 species
GUGGGAACGUGCCUUUAGGUUCGGAAUAACUCAGGGAAACUUGUGCUAAUACCGAAUGUGCCCUUCGGGGGAAAGAUUUAUCGCCUUUAGAGCGGCCCGCGUCUGAUUAGCUAGUUGGUGGGGUAAUGGCCCACCAAGGCUACGAUCAGUAGCUGGUCUGAGAGGAUGACCAGCCACAUUGGGACUGAGACACGGCCCAAACUCCUACGGGAGGCAGCAGUGGGGAAUCUUGCGCAAUGGGCGAAAGCCUGACGCAGCCAUGCCGCGUGGAUGAUGAAGGUCUUAGGAUUGUAAAAUCCUUUCACCGGUGAAGAUAAUGACUGUAGCCGGAGAAGAAGCCCCGGCUAACUUCGUGCCAGCAGCCGCGGUAAUACGAAGGGGGCUAGCGUUGCUCGGAAUUACUGGGCGUAAAGGGAGCGUAGGCGGACAUUUAAGUCAGGGGUGAAAUCCCAGAGCUCAACUCUGGAACUGCCUUUGAUACUGGAUGUCUUGAGUGUGAGAGAGGUAAGUGGAACUCCGAGUGUAGAGGUGAAAUUCGUAGAUAUUCGGAAGAACACCAGUGGCGGAGGCGACUUACUGGCUCAUUACUGACGCUGAGGCUCGAAAGCGUGGGGAGCAAACAGGAUUAGAUACCCUGGUAGUC